ensembl:lncRNA
UUCUUUUUUGGCUGUUCCCAGGGCACACAGAAGUUCCCUGGGCCAGGGAUCAAAUCUGAGCCACAGCAGUGACCUGAGCCAAGACAGAGACAAUGCCAGGUCCUUAACCCACUGCACCACAAGGGAACUCCCUCACAUUUUCUCUUUGAGCCUCAGUUUACUUAUGCAGAAAAUGAGGGGAACUUAUUUUGAAGAAGGAUUAAAAAGGGUUAGGUGCCUGGAACCCUCACGCCUGAGGGGUCAUCCCAGCUCAACCAGCAGAUUUGAGGCAGCCUUGAAAACAAGGUCAAGUCUAUGGUUCCAAACGCUUUGCACAAAGGUAUGUGGUGUCAAAAGACAUCAGAGUCAAAAGUGAAUUAAAUAUAUAUUUUCUGUACCCCCCAUCUACUUGUGUUUGCCCUUUUAGAAUUCUAAACUCUAGGCCAUGUUGCUUGACAAGACAAUGCAAAAGUAAGAGUUCUGAUGGGCAAAGGGGCCAGUUUGUCCCUGUUAGGUCUGAGUCACUGCCGUGGCCCUUUAGACAGACUCAUGGGCAGGGACAAAAAUCACAGGGUUUUCUAGAUCAAGGGGCCUCACAAACACAAGUUCCAAAAAUAAAAGACCCGAAGCUCAGAGAGGCGAGGCAAGUUGCUCAGAAUUACACAGCGGACGAAUAAGUAACAGCGUGGGUACUCAAACUAAGGGGUCGCCCCAUUCCCAAUUUUACAUUCUUUCUGCUUUGUGGACUUUGAUGAUUCAAAAUAUGCUUUUCUGGCUUGAAAAAGAUGAUAUAAAGCAAGAGCUAUGGAAGUUUGAGGUAUGAAUGAUCCAGGGCAGGAGGGCAGGCUAGGUGUGUGGAGAAGCAGGGAGGGGCGAGACCAGCCACUUUGCAUCCAGAGCAGCUAUUUUAAAAGUUUUAUACAAUCUCAACUCCAUUUAAUCUUUACAGAUUUAACCUCAUGUAUUAGGCAGGGGAGAUAAGGGCCCCGUUUUAUAGCUGAAGAAGGAGGGGAAGUGUUUUGCCCAAAAGCUCAGAGCCCAUUAGUGGCAAAAGUGAGACGAGUGGCAAGCUUUCCUGACCCCAAGAACAUUCUUCAUGGGAUGUGACCCCUUUUAGCUGCGUGUGGGCAGCGUGUUCGUGGGUGUUGGAAAAACCACAAGGGCCGUUCUCAGUCUCACUUACCUCUGGAGCCCUUUCUGCCCCAUCACCUUAAGGAGCUACAGAACCGAGUGGGGACACCAGGCCAGCGACUCCUCACAGGUUGUCGCCAUGGGCCCAGGAGUCCAAAGAUAUCAGAGUAUGUUUGCCCAGAACGUUAUGUCACUAGACACUUUUUCUAAAGAUAAAUAUAGGCAGCCAAAGAACACACUGGGUUGACAUCUGGUGGUGGGGACAGGGGGUGGAGGACAGAAGAACAGAGAAAGCCAGCCAGGCUUUAUCAACUCCACCAUGCCUUUCCCCUGGUGGGAGCACCAAGGCACCAGCCACUUGCCUCUUUACAGUUUUAACUAAAAGGAGCAUUACAGAGGUGAAUUAACAUUUAAAAAGAAUGUAAAAACUCGGAGCUGUUCUAAUGAUGAUUAAUGGAGAGCUAUAAGGGGGCCAUGACCUGCCAGUGUCAUUAAAUGGAUUGGCAGGUUUCUGAGCAUUAAUUAUAAAUAGCCACAGGAGUUCUCCUGCUUAACAGAACGAUGAUAAAUCCAAGUCUCUCGGAGAGAGAAGAAAGGAAAGCCAAGAGGGGAGAAAAGUUUGCCUGUACACGUCUGCCCGCCUGUGUGUUGUGGGGAGAAGAGAGGGAGCGAGCAGAGAGAAUGAGAUAAAUGAUAAAUUAGACCCUGCCAGUCAAUCACAUUUUCUAAAUGUUUUAUGUCCCAAAAGCUAUAAAAGCAAUAUUCCUCUCUGCCCUUAUUGGAACCAUUUCUGUACAGCAAUCACAUCAGUUUCCUUGGGGAUUUCAACUGAAAUGUGCUUUGCCUUUUCUUUUUAUAUUUACUCUCCAGCCUGCGACCAGGGGAGGGUCAGAGUCCGCAUACAAAUAGGCAGGAGAGAGACCCGGUGACCAGGAGGGCGGGCACGGGGAGUGAGGGGCUGGCAGGGGCCUUGGCUCUGCUGCGCCCACAGCCAAGGCAAGGAGAGCGGAGACCAGGGGCCCUGCUUCCUGCCCUGGGACGGUCUCCGCCAGGGAGCAGGCCCGGCCUGGUACAAGCCAGGGCGAGGGCUCAGCGAGAGCUUUGCUGACCCCAUAGACUGCAUGUGCCAUGGUGGGGAGGGGGGUCUGCUUUAUUCACUGCCUGGCCAGAACUUAAGAGCAUCACCUGCUACGUCAGAGGCCCCACUGAGUAGAGGUGUGAAUGAAGGCGUGAUGAACGAGUCUAUCCACGUCUAGAACGCCAGGCAGGCUGACACCUGACCCUGCAGAGCCUCUAGGGGAUGGGCAUUCAGGUCCUGGGCCCACCCACUGGCUCUGCCUUCCCUGGAAUGUAAGGAUGCCAGCCUCCUCCCAGCCUGCUCUCGGGAAACACACUCAGAUUCCUUGCAUUGGGAGCUGGAAGGGAACUCAGGGGAAGAGACUGGUCCAAGGUCACUCAGCCAGCUGGUCUAAGAGCCAGCACUGGAUCCCCUCUAGCAUCCUCUCUCUCAAACAGCAUCCUGCCCCUCUCUCUGCCCCUGGCUUCCAAAUCUGCUGACAAAGCCCUCUCAGCCAGUGAGCCAGCCCUGCACCUGCCGAGGCUAGGGCCUUACUUCCCAGGUGACCGCGGCGGAAGAGGCAGGGAGACAGAGAGAGGUCAGAAGGCAUGAGAGAAAGACCCCCAAGCCAGGAUCUGGAGUCUAACGGCUACUCCUGGGUGAUGCUAUACUUGUGUGUCGUUACUUCUCAAAGCUUUUCCCCAGCAAGU